rnacentral:rRNA from 1 species
GACGAACGCUGGCGGCGUGCCUAAUACAUGCAAGUAGAACGCUGAAGGAGGAGCUUGCUUCUCUGGAUGAGUUGCGAACGGGUGAGUAACGCGUAGGUAACCUGCCUGGUAGCGGGGGAUAACUAUUGGAAACGAUAGCUAAUACCGCAUAAGAGUAGAUGUUGCAUGACAUUUGCUUAAAAGGUGCAAUUGCAUCACUACCAGAUGGACCUGCGUUGUAUUAGCUAGUUGGUGGGGUAACGGCUCACCAAGGCGACGAUACAUAGCCGACCUGAGAGGGUGAUCGGCCACACUGGGACUGAGACACGGCCCAGACUCCUACGGGAGGCAGCAGUAGGGAAUCUUCGGCAAUGGACGGAAGUCUGACCGAGCAACGCCGCGUGAGUGAAGAAGGUUGUCGGAUCGUAAAGCUCUGUUGUAAGAGAAGAACGAGUGUGGGAGUGGAAAGUUCACACUGUGACGGUAUCUUACCAGAAAGGGACGGCUAACUACGUG